GGAAAGGUGGCCGAGUGGUUGAAGGCGCUCCCCUGCUAAGGGAGUAGGUGUGUUUAAAGCACCUCGGUGGGUUCGAAUCCCCUCCUUUCCA